rnacentral:lncRNA from 1 species
AGGAGCUCGUCCCAGCGCUCCUGAAUUAGGAUCUGUCUUUGCGAAAAGUUGUGUCUCGCGUGGAAAGGGUGCUCACGGCAUUUUCUUGUUCAGAGGUUGUAGGACUCGGAGGAAUGCUCAGGAGUUACAUGAAGGAAAAGCAGGACACUCAGAGUUUGGUGGCUGGAGUUUGGGCAGCAGCUGUUUGUCUAUGUGAAGGCAGGACAGACGUCCACACGGCACCAGGAGCUGUGUGGGUCUUAAGAGGUGGAGGACCCUGGUAGGCUGCAGCAGAAGCCUGUGCUACGCCUGGUGGAGCAGAGCAGCGCCCACCUGCUGAAUCCUCCUUUCCAUGCACAGCUCAGGCUGAAGGCUGAGCCUUGGUCACAGAAGCUGCAGAAACCAGAAAGGUGAAGAUCCUGACUCUCAAGAGUGGGGGACAACUGUCCUCAUGAGCAGGAGAGCCGGUGUCAGCAGUGGUGGGGAGACAAGGAAAGCUUAUUUCUACCCCAGGAGCUUGGACUGUGAGGGGUGAGGAAGAUGGCAUCUUGGGGAGUGAGUUACGGAUGGUUGGAGCCCUGGAUGGGAGCACUCUCAGGGAGAGAGGAGAAUGGCAGGAGUUGCACCAAGCUGUUUCACUGCUGGAUUGCAAGUUCAGGGGCCAAGAAAAGAGGGGGGACUUCUAUUGCUGGUUAUUCACGAUGGCACAUAGAGUCUGACUGUACAGCGAGCUGUUUGGCUUCUUCUACUCAGCACACUACCCCAAGGCUGCUCUGCUGUGGCACCAGUUCUCUGCUCUCUGAAAAGAAUCAGUGGCGCGCAUGCUCUGCUCAUCCACUCCC